GACGAACGCUGGCGGCGUGCUUAACACAUGCAAGUCGAACGGAAAGGCCCUGCUUUUGUGGGGUGCUCGAGUGGCGAACGGGUGAGUAACCCGUGAGUAACCUGCCCUUGACUUUGGGAUAACUUCAGGAAACUGGGGCUAAUACCGGUUAGGAGCUCCUGCUGCAUGGUGGGGGUUGGAAAGUUUCGGCGGUUGGGGAUGGACUCGCGGUUUAUCAGCUUGUUGGUGGGGUAGUGGCCUACCAAGGCUUUGACGGGUUGCCGGCCUGAGAGGGUGACCGGCCACAUUGGGACUGCGAUACGGCCCAGACUCCUACGGGAGGCAGCAGUGGAGAAUAUUGCACAAUGGGCGGAAGCCUGAUGCAGCAGCGCCGCGUGCGGGAUAACGGCCUUCGGGUUGUAAACCGCUUUCGCAUGUGACGAAGCGUGAGUGACGGUAAUGAGUAAAGAAGCACCGGCUAACUACGUG
rnacentral:rRNA from 1 species